rnacentral:tRNA from 1 species
GCCUCCUUGGCUCAGUUGGUUAGAGCGCAGGUCUCAUAUCUAGCAUAUGAGUAAUCAAAUGAUUACGUAAUCCUGAAAUCCUGAGGUCGCAAGUUCGAACCUUGCAGGGGGCA